rnacentral:rRNA from 1 species
GGAAAGGCGCGCGAUACAGGGUGACAGCCCCGUACACAAAAAUGCACAUGCUGUGAGCUCGAUGAGUAGGGCGGGACACGUGGUAUCCUGUCUGAAUAUGGGGGGACCAUCCUCCAAGGCUAAAUACUCCUGACUGACCGAUAGUGAACCAGUACCGUGAGGGAAAGGCGAAAAGAACCCCGGCGAGGGGAGUGAAAAAGAACCUGAAACCGUGUACGUACAAGCAGUGGGAGCACGCUUAGGCGUGUGACUGCGUACCUUUUGUAUAAUGGGUCAGCGACUUAUAUUCUGUAGCAAGGUUAACCGAAUAGGGGAGCCGAAGGGAAACCGAGUCUUAACUGGGCGUUAAGUUGCAGGGUAUAGACCCGAAACCCGGUGAUCUAGCCAUGGGCAGGUUGAAGGUUGGGUAACACUAACUGGAGGACCGAACCGACUAAUGUUGAAAAAUUAGCGGAUGACUUGUGGCUGGGGGUGAAAGGCCAAUCAAACCGGGAGAUAGCUGGUUCUCCCCGAAAGCUAUUUAGGUAGCGCCUCGUGAAUUCAUCUCCGGGGGUAGAGCACUGUUUCGGCAAGGGGGUCAUCCCGACUUACCAACCCGAUGCAAACUGCGAAUACCGGAGAAUGUUAUCACGGGAGACACACGGCGGGUGCUAACGUCCGUCGUGAAGAGGGAAACAACCCAGACCGCCAGCUAAGGUCCCAAAGUCAUGGUUAAGUGGGAAACGAUGUGGGAAGGCCCAGACAGCCAGGAUGUUGGCUUAGAAGCAGCCAUCAUUUAAAGAAAGCGUAAUAGCUCACUGGUCGAGUCGGCCUGCGCGGAAGAUGUAACGGGGCUAAACCAUGCACCGAAGCUGCGGCAGCGACGCUGAUGCGUUGUUGGGUAGGGGAGCGUUCUGUAAGCCUGUGAAGGUGUGCUGUGAGGCAUGCUGGAGGUAUCAGAAGUGCGAAUGCUGACAUAAGUAACGAUAAAGCGGGUGAAAAGCCCGCUCGCCGGAAGACCAAGGGUUCCUGUCCAACGUUAAUCGGGGCAGGGUGAGUCGACCCCUAAGGCGAGGCCGAAAGGCGUAGUCGAUGGGAAACAGGUUAAUAUUCCUGUACUUGGUGUUACUGCGAAGGGGGGACGGAGAAGGCUAUGUUGGCCGGGCGACGGUUGUCCCGGUUUAAGCGUGUAGGCUGGUUUUCCAGGCAAAUCCGGAAAACUAAGGCUGAGGCGUGAUGACGAGGCACUACGGUGCUGAAGCAACAAAUGCCCUGCUUCCAGGAAAAGCCUCUAAGCAUCAGGUAACAUCAAAUCGUACCCCAAACCGACACAGGUGGUCAGGUAGAGAAUACCAAGGCGCUUGAGAGAACUCGGGUGAAGGAACUAGGCAAAAUGGUGCCGUAACUUCGGGAGAAGGCACGCUGAUAUGUAGGUGAAGUCCCUCGCGGAUGGAGCUGAAAUCAGUCGAAGAUACCAGCUGGCUGCAACUGUUUAUUAAAAACACAGCACUGUGCAAACACGAAAGUGGACGUAUACGGUGUGACGCCUGCCCGGUGCCGGAAGGUUAAUUGAUGGGGUCAGCGCAAGCGAAGCUCUUGAUCGAAGCCCCGGUAAACGGCGGCCGUAACUAUAACGGUCCUAAGGUAGCGAAAUUCCUUGUCGGGUAAGUUCCGACCUGCACGAAUGGCGUAAUGAUGGCCAGGCUGUCUCCACCCGAGACUCAGUGAAAUUGAACUCGCUGUGAAGAUGCAGUGUACCCGCGGCAAGACGGAAAGACCCCGUGAACCUUUACUAUAGCUUGACACUGAACAUUGAGCCUUGAUGUGUAGGAUAGGUGGGAGGCUUUGAAGUGUGGACGCCAGUCUGCAUGGAGCCGACCUUGAAAUACCACCCUUUAAUGUUUGAUGUUCUAACGUUGACCCGUAAUCCGGGUUGCGGACAGUGUCUGGUGGGUAGUUUGACUGGGGCGGUCUCCUCCUAAAGAGUAACGGAGGAGCACGAAGGUUGGCUAAUCCUGGUCGGACAUCAGGAGGUUAGUGCAAUGGCAUAAGCCAGCUUGACUGCGAGCGUGACGGCGCGAGCAGGUGCGAAAGCAGGUCAUAGUGAUCCGGUGGUUCUGAAUGGAAGGGCCAUCGCUCAACGGAUAAAAGGUACUCCGGGGAUAACAGGCUGAUACCGCCCAAGAGUUCAUAUCGACGGCGGUGUUUGGCACCUCGAUGUCGGCUCAUCACAUCCUGGGGCUGAAGUAGGUCCCAAGGGUAUGGCUGUUCGCCAUUUAAAGUGGUACGCGAGCUGGGUUUAGAACGUCGUGAGACAGUUCGGUCCCUAUCUGCCGUGGGCGCUGGAGAACUGAGGGGGGCUGCUCCUAGUACGAGAGGACCGGAGUGGACGCAUCACUGGUGUUCGGGUUGUCAUGCCAAUGGCACUGCCCGGUAGCUAAAUGCGGAAGAGAUAAGUGCUGAAAGCAUCUAAGCACGAAACUUGCC